UGGGGAAUAUUGCACAAUGGGCGCAAGCCUGAUGCAGCCAUGCCGCGUGUAUGAAGAAGGCCUUCGGGUUGUAAAGCACUUUCAGCGGGGAGGAAGGCGUUAAGGUUAAUAACCUUGGCGAUUGACGUUACCCGCAGAAGAAGCACCGGCUAACUCCGUGCCAGCAGCCGCGGUAAUACGGAGGGUGCAAGCGUUAAUCGGAAUUACUGGGCGUAAAGCGCACGCAGGCGGUCUGUCAAGUCGGAUGUGAAAUCCCCGGGCUCAACCUGGGAACUGCAUUCGAAACCGGCAGGCUAGAGUCUUGUAGAGGGGGGUAGAAUUCCAGGUGUAGCGGUGAAAUGCGUAGAGAUAUGGAGGAAUACCGGUGGCGAAGGCGGCCCCCUGGACAAAGACUGACGCUCAGGUGCGAAAGCGUGGGGAGCAAACAGG
rnacentral:rRNA from 1 species